rnacentral:rRNA from 1 species
AUACGGAAGGUCCGGGCGUUAUCCGGAUUUAUUGGGUUUAAAGGGAGCGCAGGCGGAGAUGCAAGCGUGACGUCAAAUUUCGGGGCUCAACCCCGUCUCGCGUCGCGAACUGCGUCCCUUGGUUGCGGGAAGGGGAGGCGGAACUCGUGGUGUAGCGGUGAAAUGCAUAGAUAUCACGAAGAACUCCGAUCGCGAAGGCAGCCUUCCGGCCCGUCAACGACGCUCAUGCUCGAAGGUGCGGGUAUCAAACAGGAUUAGAUACCCUGGUAGUCCGUACAGUAAACGAUGGACACCCGCGGUUUGGCCUGUAUGGCUGAGCCGCCAAGCGAAAGCGUUAAGUGUCCCACCUGGGGAGUACGCCGGCAACGGUGAAACUUAAAGGAAUUGACGGGG